GACGAACGCUGGCGGCGUGCUUAACACGUGCAAGUCGAACGGUAAGGCCCUUCGGGGUACACGAGUGGCGAACGGGUGAGUAACACGUGGGUGAUCUGCCCUGCACUUUGGGAUAAGACUGGGAAACUGGGUCUAAUACCGGAUAGGACCACGGCCUGCAUGGGUUGUGGUGGAAAGCUUUUGCGGUGUGGGAUGGGCCCGCGGCCUAUCAGCUUGUUGGUGGGGUGAUGGCCUACCAAGGCGACGACGGGUAGCCGGCCUGAGAGGGUGUCCGGCCACACUGGGACUGAGAUACGGCCCAGACUCCUACGGGAGGCAGCAGUGGGGAAUAUUGCACAAUGGGCGCAAGCCUGAUGCAACGACGCCGCGUGGGGGAUGACGGCCUUCGGGUUGUAAACCUCUUUCACCAGGGACGAAGCGCAAGUGACGGUACCUGGAGAAGAAGCACCGGCCAACUACGUGCCAGCAGCCGCCGUAA
rnacentral:rRNA from 1 species